UACGUAGGCAGCAAGCGUUGUUCGGAAUUACUGGGCGUAAAGAGUGUGUAGGCGGUGCUCUAAGUUUGGUGUGAAAUCUCCCGGCUCAACCGGGAGGCUGCAUCGAAUACUGGAAUGCUAGAGGGUGGGAGAGGUAAGCGGAAUUCCUGGUGUAGCGAUGAAAUGCGUAGAUAUCAGGAGGAACACCUGUGGUGUAGACAGCUUACUGGACCACUUCUGACGCUGAGACACGAAAGCGUGGGUAGCAAACAGG
rnacentral:rRNA from 1 species